UACGAAGGGGGCUAGCGUUGUUCGGAAUUACUGGGCGUAAAGCGUGCGCAGGCGGCUUCUCAAGUCAGGGGUGAAAGCCCAGAGCUCAACUCUGGAAUUGCCUUUGAGACUGAGAGGCUUGAGUACGGGAGAGGUGAGUGGAAUUCCCCGUGUAGAGGUGAAAUUCGUAGAUAUUGGGAAGAACACCAGUGGCGAAGGCGGCGCACUGGACCGUAACUGACGCUCAUGCACGACAGCGUGGGGAGCAAACAGG
rnacentral:rRNA from 1 species